GACGAACGCUGGCGGCGUGCUUAACACAUGCAAGUCGAACGGAAAGGCCCUGCUUUUGUGGGGUGCUCGAGUGGCGAACGGGUGAGUAACACGUGGGUAACCUGCCCUUGACUUUGGGGUAACUUCAGGAAACUGGGGCUAAUACCGGAUAGGAGCUCCUGCUGCAUGGUGGGGGUUGGAAAGUUUCGGCGGUUGGGGAUGGACUCGCGGCUUAUCAGCUUGUUGGUGGGGUAGUGGCUUACCAAGGCUUUGACGGGUAGCCGGCCUGAGAGGGUGACCGGCCACAUUGGGACUGAGAUACGGCCCAGACUCCUACGGGAGGCAGCAGUGGGGAAUAUUGCACAAUGGGCGGAAGCCUGAUGCAGCAACGCCGCGUGCGGGAUGACGGCCUUCGGGUUGUAAACCGCUUUCGCCUGUGACGAAGCGUGAGUGACGGUAAUGGGUAAAGAAGCACCGGCUAACUACGUG
rnacentral:rRNA from 1 species